AGGGUCGUAGUUAAGUGGUAUAAUGUCAGACUCCGAAUCUGAUGUCGUAGGUUCGAUUCCUGCCGACCCUG
rnacentral:tRNA from 1 species